rnacentral:rRNA from 1 species
UAGGGAAUCUUCCGCAAUGGGCGAAAGCCUGACGGAGCAACGCCGCGUGAGUGAUGAAGGUCUUCGGAUCGUAAAACUCUGUUAUUAGGGAAGAACAAAUGUGUAAGUAACUAUGCACGUCUUGACGGUACCUAAUCAGAAAGCCACGGCUAACUACGUGCCAGCAGCCGCGGUAAUACGUAGGUGGCAAGCGUUAUCCGGAAUUAUUGGGCGUAAAGCGCGCGUAGGCGGUUUUUUAAGUCUGAUGUGAAAGCCCACGGCUCAACCGUGGAGGGUAAUUGGAAACUGGAAAACUUGAGUGCAGAAGAGGAAAGUGGAAUUCCAUGUGUAGAGGUGAAAUGCGCAGAGAUAUGGAGGAACACAAGUGGCGAAGGCGACUGUCUGGUCUCUAACUGACGCUGAUAUGCGAAAGCGUGGGGAUCAAACAGG